rnacentral:rRNA from 1 species
UGGUCUUGACAUCCUCGGAACCUGCCCGAAAAGGCGGGGUGCCCGCAAGGGAACCGAGAGACAGGUGCUGCAUGGCUGUCGUCAGCUCGUGUCGUGAGAUGUUGGGUUAAGUCCCGCAACGAGCGCAACCCUCGCCUUUAGUUGCCACGCAAGUGGAUCUCUAGAGGGACUGCCGGUGUUAAACCGGAGGAAGGUGGGGAUGACGUCAAGUCCUCAUGGCCUUUAUGACCAGGGCUACACACGUGCUACAAUGGCCGGUACAAAGCGCUGCCAACUCGCGAGAGGGAGCCAAUCGCAUAAAACCGGUCUCAGUUCAGAUUGGAGUCUGCAACUCGACUCCAUGAAGGCGGAAUCGCUAGUAAUCGCAGAUCAGCACGCUGCGGUGAAUACGUUCCCGGGCC